rnacentral:lncRNA from 1 species
GUUUAUGGUGGUGAUUUAAGGCCAAGAGACAGACUCCAGGCUCAUCUAGUAACACUCAGGCUACUCCAGUUCAAAGGCAGCCACGUGACAGUUCCUGAACAUAUGGUUGUUGAAUAAAUGAAUGAAAAAUGAGAAAACCAGGAGCUCUGAUACUUAACCACAAUGAUGCUGCUGAAUUUGAAUUGGGAUCGUAUGUAGUUCCUCAUCUAGGAACUAGUGAUGAGUCAAAUAUAAAUUAAGAUAUAGUUUGGAAAUAUUAAGAAAUAUGUAUUGAUUUUAACCAGAAAUAUAUGAUCUGAAAGACAGUAGAAUGUAAUUAUUGGUCUGUUUACCUGACAUUUUGCUUCCCAUUAUGUAUAUGACGUGAAAAUCUUUAUUAAAGGAAAGUAUUUUUGUAUCA